rnacentral:rRNA from 1 species
UACGAAGGGGGCUAGCGUUGCUCGGAAUCACUGGGCGUAAAGCGCACGUAGGCGGGUCGUUAAGUCGGGGGUGAAAUCCUGGAGCUCAACUCCAGAACUGCCUUCGAUACUGGCGAUCUUGAGUCUGGGAGAGGUGAGUGGAACUCCGAGUGUAGAGGUGAAAUUCGUAGAUAUUCGGAAGAACACCAGUGGCGAAGGCGGCUCACUGGCCCGGUACUGACGCUGAGGUGCGAAAGCGUGGGGAGCAAACAGGG